rnacentral:rRNA from 1 species
UACGAAGGGGGCUAGCGUUGCUCGGAAUUACUGGGCGUAAAGGGCGCGUAGGCGGACAGUUUAGUCAGGGGUGAAAGCCCAGGGCUCAACCUUGGAAUUGCCUUUGAUACUGGCUGUCUUGAGUUCGGGAGAGGUGAGUGGAAUGCCGAGUGUAGAGGUGAAAUUCGUAGAUAUUCGGCGGAACACCAGUGGCGAAGGCGACUCACUGGCCCGAUACUGACGCUGAGGCGCGAAAGCGUGGGGAGCAAACAGG